rnacentral:rRNA from 1 species
ACACAUGCAAGUCGAACGAUGAAGCCCAGCUUGCUGGGUGGAUUAGUGGCGAACGGGUGAGUAACACGUGGGUGAUCUGCCCUGCACUUCGGGAUAAGCCUGGGAAACUGGGUCUAAUACCGGAUAGGACCUUCUGCCGCAUGGUGGGGGGUGGAAAGGUUUUCCGGUGCAGGAUGGGCCCGCGGCCUAUCAGCUUGUUGGUGGGGUAACGGCCCACCAAGGCGACGACGGGUAGCCGGCCUGAGAGGGCGACCGGCCACACUGGGACUGAGACACGGCCCAGACUCCUACGGGAGGCAGCAGUGGGGAAUAUUGCACAAUGGGCGCAAGCCUGAUGCAGCGACGCCGCGUGAGGGAUGACGGCCUUCGGGUUGUAAACCUCUUUCAGUACCGACGAAGCGCAAGUGACGGUAGGUACAGAAGAAGCACCGGCCAACUACGUGCCAGCAGCCGCGGUAAUACGUAGGGUGCGAGCGUUGUCCGGAAUUACUGGGCGUAAAGAGCUCGUAGGCGGUUUGUCGCGUCGUCUGUGAAAACCCGCAGCUCAACUGCGGGCUUGCAGGCGAUACGGGCAGACUUGAGUACUGCAGGG